CUUCAGCGAGCCCAGCAGCAGGGGCCGGUCCCGGUCUGCGCCGUAGGUGGCCAGCAGGGCCUGGGCCUC
rnacentral:antisense_RNA from 1 species